rnacentral:rRNA from 1 species
CCCUUAGAUGUUCUGGGCCGCGCGCGCGCUACAAUGAUGAAUUCAACGAGUUUAUAACCUUGGUUGAAAAGCCUGGGUAAUCUUUUGAACUUUCGUCGUGAUGGGGCUAGACCCUUGCAAUUAUUGGUCUCCAACGAGGAAUUCCUAGUAAACGCAAGUCAUCAGCUUGCAUUGAUUACGUCCCUGCCCUUUGUACACACCGCCCGUCGCACCUACCGAUUGAAUGGUCCGGUGAAAUCUUCGGAUUGAGACUUUGUUUUCUUCACGGAAAACGCUGUUUUAAAAAGUUGAUUAAACCUUACCAUUUAGAGGAAGGUGAAGUCGUAACA